CAGAUCCGAGGACCGGGACAAAACAAGAGAGGCCUUGUGAAACCAUCGCUUAGCAAUGAUGCACUUCGAACCUCACAUUUGGAACACCUGCUGUGAAGGAGACCUAGGUUUGCACCAUGAAAUCUUAGAAUACAAGCACCUCAACGUGAAAACUACUGGUAAUUAAAGCUGGUAGAGCGCCGUGACAUCUCUCAUAAACAAGCUGGCUAUGGAGAAGGAUCACGUCAACCAAGAGUUGCAAGGGCCCGUUCCAUUCUGACUGGAAAAGAUGUCUAUCAUCUAUGCUUUGAUUCACCAGUUACAUCCUCAGAUGAUACAUGCAGGACAUUGUGAACAUGGAGAAUAUCAAGAAGAAGGCCUAAAGGUUUAGAAAUAAUGCCUAAAAUCCUCGGGACUGGGGCUUCCUCCUAAGGUAGCCGGGAAAACAUUUCAUCCAGGACGCAAAAAAGACUGUAGUUAGAUUACUUGUUGGUUAGUUUUCACUGUUCAAGGAUACAGACAGAUGUAAAUCGAAAGUGAAUUUCCUUCUCAGGGGAGGAACCAACGUCUUGGUAUUGCAGCCACUGUAGCUUAGGUAGUAUAGUGACCUACAUGUAGUUGUUUUCAGUUAGUCUGCACUUCAUACACUGCGUACAAUCGCACUUGUUUGUUAUUCCUGCCGUAUCAUGUAGACUUGCGCAAAUAGUGCAAUCAAAAUUGUUUUAAAAAGGCAUGAUAUUGCUCAAAUUUGUAAAUUCUUAAUUGAAAUCUGCCAAUUCAAGCAAUGAGAUAGCAGUACUCUGCCUAUCUGUACUAUAACCGACGGUUAUCGCGGCUCUUGGCUCUCAGAUUAGGGUGUCCCAAUAUCCACACCUGGUAUUCUAUAGUUACUGUGUAGUGACCUUUUUGUUUUUACUUUUAAAAACCUAUGCGAUUUGCCGCACUGAACCCUCCAGAGAUUGUUGGACUGGGUCCAUUGAGUGUGACAAAAAUAUCCAACACCUAUUUACAAAUGAAGUGAGGAGUCAGCCUUUUGGUGUAACUCCAUAUAACUGUCUGGUGAUUUCGCUCUGGGCUUGUGACAUUCUGAUCGGUCUGAAAUAAUCAUUACCGCCCAUCCCUCAUUGAGGCCUGUGUCCCGAUGGUGGCGUUGAAUGGCAAAAUCAAAGGGGCAUGACGGCGGUUAAACCUAUUGCGAAUGGGCAGCAUCACAACCAGUUCUGAGAUCUGGGGGUGGUGUAGGAUAUCUGGUUACCACGCACACAUCUCUUGGAUUUGCGGUGGGUUGGUACCCCACGCUACGUAAGGGGAGGUUUUCGGGUAAGACUUGGUCCACGUGAAUAGGCUGUACCUGAAAGAUGAGAAGUUGCGAAUGGACGCCUUAGAAUAUGUCCUUCGACCAGCUAGUGCUAACCCGAUCACUGUCUCCAGGUCACCAUACCUUGGUCAAUGAGCGGGCGAAGAACCCAAUGGCUCCGUCAGGAGUACAUCGUCAACUUCAGCCCGUAGUCAAACCGGUGCACGCACAAAUAUCUUAGUUGAGAGUGGGGGACGUACUUGCUUCUCAUCGGGGUAAUACAGUACCACUGUAUACAAUGACCCCAUUUUAGUUGGAUUUUACUGAGGAGUGGACGAUAAUGAGAAUUUCAGGCCAGUCCGAUUGUCACCAGUUCAGAGGGCGAUUACCUGAUAGUUAUGUGGCAUUCCGUCAAACGGUGAACUCUUUCACAUCCUUUGUAAAUUAGUGUUGCUUGUUACAUGUCACAUUCAAUGGCUCAUUUAAGGAUAGUUUCUGUGAUUCUACUUUACCAUGAGCAGGCCCAUUAAAACCUAAACUUUGAAGUUUGUGAUCUAAAAAGUUUUAAAUCUGGUUAUUGGAGUAAAGAUUGUACAAUGGAAUAUCCACGGGAUACCCUAAUCUGAGAGCCAAGAGCCAACACGCUGUUAAAGAGCCAAUUAAGUGCUGACAGGAAAGCCACGAGCCAAAGAAAAAGUUUAGGCUUAUGAAACUUUGGGAAUCCUAAGCCUACAGGUACCCUACUUGAUAAAAAAUAAAUUAAUCAUGUAAUCGUUUAUGACAUUGUAUGACAUCGCCUCCUGGAUAGCAGUAUGGUUAACAGUCUACCAUGCCAGGAUUUUUUAUUGUACUCUUGUUAUGCCGUCAAUACAACAGGGCGGGUACAGUGUACAUUGAGUCUGCACUUCAUACACUGCUUACAAUCGCACUUGUUUGUCAUUCCUGCCGUAUCAUGUAGACUUGCGCAAAUAGUGCAAUCAAAAUUGUUUUAAAAAGGCAUGAUAUUGCUCAAAUUUGUAAAUUCUUAAUUGAAAUCUGCCAAUUCAAGCAAUGAGAUAGCAGUACUCUGCCUAUCUGUACUAUAACUGACGGUUAUCGCGGCUCUUGGCUCUCAGAUUAGGGUGUCCCAAUAU